UGCGCAGGUGGGGAUGUAAGUCAGUGGUGAAAUGUUGUCGCUCAACGGUAAAAUUGCCAUUGAUACUGCAUCUCUUGAGUAUGGUUGAGGUAGGCGGAAUGUGUUGUGUAGCGGUGAAAUGCAUAGAUAUGACACAGAACACCGAUUGCGAAGGCAGCUUACUAAGCCAUUACUGACGCUGAGGCACGAAAGCGUGGGUAGCGAACAGGAUUAGAUACCCUGGUAGUCC
rnacentral:rRNA from 1 species